CUUUAAUGAGCAAGACUGAAUUGAAACUUUCAGUAGUUUCCAGGCUCCUUCUUGAAUGCGAGACUCUAAUUAGGAACCAUCUAAUGAAUGAUUUCACAAAACUGUCGCUGAAAAUAUAAGCAAGAAAUAAGAGGAGAGGAAGAAUUGAGAGGGGAAAAGAGAGAGAAGAGAAAAAGAGAGUGAGGACGGAAGGAAAGGAGAGGAUUUGAUAGACGGUGUACAGCAGCGUCUUAGAAACGUCGUUAGAAAAUGUUCCUUUUCCAGGAAAUUCAAAAGCCUGGUCACCAAUGUCCUACAAAACAGCUAAGAGCGUUUUAACCCAUUUCCGGUGGAGCUAUGUGAUGAUCCUUUGCCGUGUAAGCGUGAGGCCCUUGGACUAACGGAUGACUCUCUCAGGGAAGCUUCCGCUGACCAGCUCAUUAGGCCAAUCAUCACGUUAGAAGCCUGACUCCUUGCCACCACCGUGAUGUGAAGAAGCCCACACGAUCUACAUAUGGAGGGAGAGGCCAAGUGGAGAAGCACCACAGGGAUCAAACACGUGAGUGGAGAUUUCUUGGACCUUCAGCCUCACUCAG
rnacentral:lncRNA from 1 species